rnacentral:rRNA from 1 species
UUGCUCCCWGAUGUUAGCGGCGGACGGGUGAGUAACACGUGGGUAACCUGCCUGUAAGACUGGGAUAACUCCGGGAAACCGGGGCUAAUACCGGAUGSUUGAUUGAACCGCAUGGUUCAAUUAUAAAAGGUGGCUUCGGCUACCACUUACAGAUGGACCCGCGGCGCAUUARCUAGUUGGUGAGGUAACGGCUCACCAAGGCAACGAUGCGUARCCGACCUGAGAGGGUGAUCGGCCACACUGGGACUGARACACGGCCCAGACUCCUACGGGAGGCAGCAGUAGGGAAUCUUCCGCAAUGGACGAAAGUCUGACGGARCAACGCCGCGUGAGUGAUGAAGGUUUUCGGAUCGUAAAACUCUGUUGUUAGGGAAGAACAAGUACCGUUCGAAUAGGGCGGUACCUUGACGGUACCUAACCAGAAAGCCACGGCUAACUACGUGCCAGCAGCCGCGGUAAUACGUAAGUGGCAAGCGUUGUCCGGAAUUAUUGGGCGUAAAGGGCYCGCAAGCGGUUUCUUAAGUCUGAUGUGAAAGCCCCCGGCUCAACCGGGGAGGGUCAUUGGAAACUGGGGAACUUGAGUGCAGAAGAGGAGAGUGGAAUUCCACGUGUAGCGGUGAAAUGCGUAGAGAUGUGGAGGAACACCAGUGGCGAAGGCGACUCUCUGGUCUGUAACUGACGCUGAAGAGCGAAAGCGUGGGGAGCGAACAGGAUUAGAUACCCUGGUAGUCCACGCCG